rnacentral:lncRNA from 1 species
CCCGGAAAGACUGUUGGCGGUAGGGCGAGAGAGGAUUGUCUUGAAGGACAAGGAAAACACGAAGAUUAAAGACAACAUUAAGACCAUCUGAACGCAUGGAUGCAUCGGAGCAUGGCCCUUAAGAAGAGCGAGCUCAGUCUUCCAAGAAAACGCCUCAACUGUCGUGGUGUUCUUACUUCCAAACUUCCAACACAUCCAUCCGUACAUCAGACUGCAGUUUUCUCCUGAACGAAC